UACGUAGGGUGCAAGCGUUAAUCGGAAUUACUGGGCGUAAAGCGUGCGUAGGUGGUUCGUUAAGUCUGAUGUGAAAGCCCUGGGCUCAACCUGGGAAUGGCAUUGGAAACUGGCGACCUAGAGUGCGGUAGAGGGUAGUGGAAUUCCCGGUGUAGCAGUGAAAUGCGUAAAGAUCGGGAGGAACAUCUGUGGCGAAGGCGACUGCCUGGACCAGCACUGACACUGAGGCACGAAAGCGUGGGGAGCAAACAGG
rnacentral:rRNA from 1 species